GAUGAACGCUGGCGGCGUGCUUAACACAUGCAAGUCGAACGAAGCACUUUAUUUGAUUUCCUUCGGGUCUGAUUAUUUUGUGACUGAGUGGCGGACGGGUGAGUAACGCGUGGGUAACCUGUCUUGUACAGGGGGAUAACAGAUGGAAGCGGCUGCUAAUACCGCAUAAGCGCCCGGCAUCGCAUGAUGCAGUGUGAAAAACUCCGGAGGUAUAAGAUGGACCCGCGUUGGAUUAGCUAGUUGGUGAGGUCACGGCCCACCAAGGCGACGAUCCAUAGCCGAGCAGAGAGGGAGGGCGGACACACUGAGACUAGGACACAGUCCAGACUCCUACGGGAUGCAGGAGUGGGGGAUAGUGCACAAUGGGCGAAGGCAUGAUGGAGCGAGGCCGCGUGAGCGAAGAAGUAUUGCAGGAUGUAAAGCUCUAUCAGCAGGGAAGAUAAUGACGGUACCUGACUAAGAAGCACCGGCUAAAUACGUG
rnacentral:rRNA from 1 species